UGUAGAACCUGUAUCUUCCUGUUAGGGAUGUGUGAACAGGUUUGAAUCCAAACUUGUUCGCAGUCGAACCAGUUUGAUUCGAUGGCUCAUUGUUGAGCCAAACCCCUGCUGGUCUGGCUUGACAUCAAACCAACCCCCCCCUCGGCCCAGGAGGGGUUUUUUCGCAAUUAUUGUUAUUUUUAAAAAUUGUACUUGCCCCCUCGGAUACGCCUUUCUUAGGCCAUGGGGGAGGGUCCAUGGAGGUUCCCACUCCCCCCACUGGCAUUGGUUUUGCCAUAAAGCAGCCAGUCAUGAUAUAGUCAUGCAGGGGCCUGGGGGAAAGGCCCAGAACGGUCUGAAUACUGACCGUACUAGGUGCUUUUUGGUAAAACAGAGGUGGGUGCAGGGAGCGGGAACCUCUGCCGAACCCCCGUGGCCUAGGAGAAGCCACUUGGAGUGGAAUCGCUGCCUAAAAGGUGCACACUCCCACCAAAAAUUGGAGAGUGAAAUAAAUAUUCUGUGCGCUAUUACUAUAAUGUCAGCACCUCGACAUGUGAGGAGUUCAUUUAUGGUGGAUGUCUGUCCAAUAGAAACAACUUUCACAAAAUAGAGGAUUGUAUUCGGGUGUGUGGAAGCUCUGGUUAAUCCCAUGCCCUUUCAUGUGGAACUGGACAAUGGUCACUUUCUGUCCCAUUGGACGUCAUCUGGUUCCACGGAAUGAAAAGUGAAUGCAUAGCGUUGAUCCUGCUGUAGCAGUCAAUGAUGAAAUGCCUUGCAGGCUCUCCAAUAAAUUUACUGGUUCUUCUCUA